rnacentral:rRNA from 1 species
UACGUAGGGUGCGAGCGUUAAUCGGAAUUACUGGGCGUAAAGCGUGCGCAGGCGGUUUUGCAAGCCGGAUGUGAAAUCCCCGGGCUUAACCUGGGAAUGGCAUUUGGGACUGCAAGGCUGGAGUGCGGCAGAGGAGACUGGAAUUCCUGGUGUAGCAGUGAAAUGCGUAGAUAUCAGGGAGGAACAGCCGAGUGGCGAAGGCAGCUGCACUGGGACGGUACUGACGCUGAGAACGCGGAAAGCGUAGGGGAGGCGAACAGG